GGCGAUUUGAAGGCGGUCCUGAUCUGAAUGCCACUUGAAGUGUUUGGCCAUUGUGAUAUUUGAACGGGCCCAACAAAAGGUGCUUUUCAACUACAAGAGAGCAAGAAAGGGCCAGACAGUGUCUUCACUGGGAGGGAGCCUAGAGCUCUUCCAGAAAAAUGCCGGAAAACCAGAAACUCCCGUGAGCUGGAAGUUAGCUUCCGGGAGACCCUUCCUGAGGCUGGUUCGCGAUCGAGGACGGAUGCCAGUGGGCUGUGUCUCUUUCGCAUCCUUGUUGGAGAUAGGGCCUGGGCAGUGAUGGGUCUGCCUUUGGGAAGUAGUUCCAGUCUCGCCCUUCUGGAGGGAAGCCUUGCUUGCUAUGGACUGUAGUAACGAACAGGCUGAUCUAAGCAGAACACCACCACGAGGUGAGUCCGGUAAUAAACCCAUUUCCGUCUUGAUCUCGGAGAAGUUGAGACAUGGCCAGGUGGCAGAGGUUUAAGCAGAGUUCUUUGCUGGAAGAUGCUGACCUACAACUCCACGGACCGUCGCUUCCCGGACCGUCGCUUCCCAUCCCAGUCCUGCCUUGGUAUCCUCGCUUGUAAGACGAGGGUCCGACUGCUGGCUGUGAUGAAGAGGAGGAGGAGUGAGAAUUAUGUGCUGGCACGGAGCGGUUACUCAAUAAACAGAGAUGGUAAU
rnacentral:lncRNA from 1 species